rnacentral:rRNA from 1 species
CUACGGGUUGCUGCAGUUAGGAAUAUUUUGCAAUGCGCGCAAGCGUGACAAAUUGAGCCAGAGUGAUUUUCAUAUUGAAAAUCUUUUGUGGAAUGUAAAAAGUUUCACGAAUAAGGACUGGGUAAGACUAGUGCCAGCCGCCGCGGUAAUACUAGCGGUCCAAGUCGCAGCCAUUUUUAUUGGGUCUAAAACAUCCGUAGCUUGUUUGAUAAGUUUCUUGUGAAAUCUGAUAUCUCAAAUAUCAGGCGUGCAAGAAGUACUGUCAAGCUAGAGACUGGAAGACGUGAGAAGUACGUUUAAAGUAGCGGUAAAAUGUGUUAAUCUUAAACGGACUUACAAUAGCGAAGGCAUCUCACGAGGACAGUUCUGACAGUAAGGGAUGAAGGCUAGGGGCGCAAAACGGAUUAGAUACCCCCGUAGUC